UUUAGCUGCUGGAGGUCAGGCAAAAACAUUGCCUGGUUGGAGUGCCGCUGAGAACAUCUGGAGGAUACCGAGGUCCCACACCUGACUUAAUCUGAAGCAUCCAGCAAGCACAGGUGGAGCUCUAGGUCUGUGAUAAUGGAGACCAUGGGAAAAUCUCAAGAUCAGAGGACCUGCUUCCAGGAGGCAUAUCGGCCGAUACCAAUCCAAUUUCUGAUACAGCUGUGUCCAGCUGGGGAGAAGCCACAUUAGUAUUUGGAGUGUGGGAAGAGCUUCAUCCAGUUCUCCAACAUGGGCUUAUUCACACGCAAGAGAAGCCACGUUGGAGCUCAGACUGUAGGAACAGUUUCAUCUGCUUCUCUAAAUUGGCCCAGCACCAGCUGAUUCACAUGUGGGAGAAGUCACAUCAGUGCUCUGAGUGCAGGACAAGCUUCACCUGAUCCUCCAACCUGACCAAACACUGGGUCAUCCACACAGGGGAGAAGCCACAUCAGUACUCAUAGCAUGCAAAGAGCUUCACCCAAUUCUCCCUCCUGGUCCAGCACCAGCUCAUCCACAGAAAAGAGAAGCCACAUUGAUACUCAGAAGUAUUGGAAAAGCUUCACUCAGUUCUCUGAUCUGGCCUGGCACCAGCUUAUCCAAAUGGGGAGAAGCCACAUCAGUGCUUGGAAUAUGGGAAGACUUUCAACCUGUCCUCCAACCUGACUCAACGCAGCUCAUCUACAUGGGGAAGAAGCCACAUUGGUGCUCGCACUAUGGGAAGAGAUUCCUGCACUCCUCAAAACUGGCCCACCACCAGUGCACCCACAUCCAGGAGCAUCCAUAAUUUUGCCAGCAAUGUGGAAAGGGUUUGGGGACAUCUACCUGCUCAGCACUCGCCAUUGUCUGCAUCCAGGCAAGCAGACUCAUACUUGUAGACUGCAACAAUAGUUCACCUAUUGUUCGACCCUUCUAGGGCACUGCAGAACCCAAAGGACACAGACUGGCUCCAAAAGUUUGAGGGGGAGGGAUUAAAAGGAAACCCCUCAGACAGAGGCCAGCCCAGAUGCUGGGGGAACCUGUGAGGAAAUGAUCUUUGCCUUGGAGCCUGUGCCAUCCCCACCAUUCUUUAAAACCAGUCGGUGCUCCCAGGGGGAAAAAUGCCUUCACAAUAGGGUGCCAUCCCAAAGACAACUGGCUCCAAAUGACACCGGGGACUGUCUUUGGCUGACUCCUAGCUUUGUUCUCUCUCCUGGCCCCGAGGUUCUGGUAUGUGAGGCUCUUGAGUUGCAGGAAGGAGGACACUUAUUGUUGGGGAAACAUUAGGGCUGUGCGAAGCUUCAGGUGGUAAUUAGAUUUGGAGGAGAUUCGGCCCGAUUUGGUGGUGAAUCUCCAAAUAAAGAAUUGAAUCGGGACCAAUUUAAAAGUCCGAAUCGAUUUCCUAGUUGGUAGGAUUAGAAGGGACCUGAGGAGAUCAUCUAGUCUGACCCCCUGCUGUGGCAGGAAAGAGUACUGGGGUCAAACAACCCUGGCCAGAUGUUUGUCCAGCCUCGUUUUAAAGACCCCCAGGGUAGGAGCCAGCACCACUUCUUUUGGAAGCUGGUUCCAGGUCCUAGCCGCCCUGACAGCGAAAUAGCACCUCCUAAUGUCUAGCCUGAAACUACCCUCUGCCAGCUUGUGUCCAUUGUUUCUUGUAACUCCCGGGAGCACUCGGGGGAACAGGGACUCUCCCAAUGCCUGUUGGUCCCCCUUGACUAGUUUGUAGACUGCCACUAGAUCCCCUCUCAGCCUUCUCUUUUGGAGGCUGAACAGGUUCAGGUCCCUCAGCCUCUCCUCAUAGGGCCUGCCUUGCUGACCCCUGAUCAUGCGGAUGGCCCUCCUUUGGACCCUCUCCAUAUUGGCCACAUCCCUCCUGAAGUGCAGCGUCCAGAACUGGACACAGUACUCCAGCUGCGGCCUGACCAGUGUCGCAUAGAGGGGGAGGAUCACCUCCUUGGACCUGCUUGAGAUGUAUCUGGAUGUACAACAAGGUAUGGUUGGCCUUCCUGACCGUGUCCCCGCUUUGUCGGCCCAUGUUCAUUGUGGCAUCAAUGAUGACUCCAAGAUACUUUUCUGUCUCAACACUGGCGAGAAGAGAGUUCCCCAGCCUGUAGGUAUGCUGCUGGUUCUUCCUCCCCAGGUGCAUUACCCUGCACUUGUCAGUGUUGAAACCCAUCCUGUUCUCAUCGGCCCACCCCUGUAACCUGUCUAGAUCCGCUUGCAGCCUCUUCCUUCCUACUAGUGUACCCACUUCACCCCACAUCUUUCCCAAAGAUUCAAAGCUCUCCGAAUCUUUGAUUCGGAGAGCUUUGAUUCAAGCAGUCCCUGGUGACUGCAGCAGGGAGCUGUAGCCGACUCUGAGCUGGUAAGUACUAGGGAUGGGGCAGGGGGGAGGGGACCAUGGGGGGACCUCUCCCAGCCCGCUCUGCUCCCCCAGACGUCCCAUGGCUGUUCCUCCCCCACACCCACCUUGGUACUUUAAAGAAAAGUCCUGGUGUUCACCAAGUGCUGCCAGAUGGGGAGGGAUCCCUGCUGCCCCCCACUGCCCCAUGCUGAAUGGGGAGCUCUGCCAUGAGUCCCCCAACCCCUGCUCCCCCAGUCCCACCACGGGUACCUGGCCUGGGCCAGGUCUGGCCCUUUUAAGGGGAAAAAAGCCAAGAAAAGCCCCAGGACUCGCCACUCCUGCAGCAACCUCAGGGCUUCAGGGGCUCAUGCAGAGCCCCCACACAUGGUGGGGGGCAACAGGGAUUGCCCCCUGCUGGCAGGAGCAGUAAGUUUUGAGGAGGGGU